rnacentral:rRNA from 1 species
CCUACGGUAGGCAGCAGUGAGGAAUAUUGGUCAAUGGGCGCGAGCCUGAACCAGCCAAGUAGCGUGAAGGAUGACUGCCCUACGGGUUGUACACUUCUUUUAUAAAGGAAUAAAGUGAGGAACGUGUGCCUUUUUGUAUGUACUUUAUGCAUAAGGCUCGGCUAACUACGUGCAAGCAGCCGCGGUAAUACGGAGGAUCCGAGAGGUAUCCGGAUUUAUUGGGUUUAAAGGGAGCGUAGAUGGGUUGUUAAGUCAGUUGUGAAAGUUUGCGGCGCAACCGUAAAAUUGCAAUUGAUACUGGCAGUCUUGAGUACAGUUGAGGUAGGCGGAAUGCGUGGUGUAGCGGUGAAAUGCUUAGAUAUCACGAAGAACUCCGAUUGCAAAGGCAGCUUACUAAACUGCCACUGACAUUGAUGCUCGAAAGUGUGGGUAUCAAACAGGAGUAGAUACCCCAGUAGUC